rnacentral:rRNA from 1 species
GACGAACGCUGGCGGCGUGCCUAAUACAUGCAAGUAGAACGCAGUUGCGAACGGGUGAGUAACGCGUAGGUAACUGCCUCAUAGCGGGGGAUAACUAUUGGAAACGAUAGCUAAUACCGCAUACUGUGAGAUGGACCUGCGUUGGAUUAGGUAGUUGGUGGGGUAAAGGCUCACCAAGGCGACGAUACAUAGCCGGCCUGGGAGGGUGGUCGGGCACACCGGGACUGGGGAACCGCCCAGACCUCUACCGGAGGGAGCAGUAGGGGAUCAUUGGAAAUGGGGGGAAGGCUGGCCGAACAACGGCGGGGUAGUGGAGGAAGGUUUCCGGUCGGAAAGCUCUGUUGUGAGAGAAGCGGUAACUAACCAGAAAGGGACGGCUAACUCCGUGCCAGCAGCCGCGGUAAUUC